AUUGAACGCUGGCGGCAUGCUUUACACAUGCAAGUCGAACGGUAACAGGCCGCAAGGUGCUGACGAGUGGCGAACGGGUGAGUAAUGCAUCGGAACGUGCCCAGUCGUGGGGGAUAACUACUCGAAAGAGUAGCUAAUACCGCGUACGAUCUAUGGAUGAAAGCGGGGGACCGUAAGGCCUCGCGCGAUUGGAACGGCCGAUGUCAGAAUAGGUACUUGGUGUGGUAAAGUCUCACCAACCCAACACUCUGUAGCUGGUCUGAGAGGACGACCAGCCCCACUGGGACUGAGAGACCGCCCAGACUCCUACGCGAGGCAGCAGUGGGGAAUUUUGGACAAUGGGCGCAAGCCUGCUCCAGCAAUGCCGCGUGCAGCAAGCAGGCCUUCGGGUUGUAAACUGCUUUUGUACGGAACGAAACGGCUCUGGUUAAUACCCGGGGCUAAUGACGUUACCGUACAGAUAAGCACCGGCUAACUACGUG
rnacentral:rRNA from 1 species